rnacentral:rRNA from 1 species
CAUUGCUUUUUGAUAUUUGAAUAAAAAGUAUGGUCUGCCCAGUGAAAUUUUAACGGCCGCAAUAUUUGUGCGAAGGUAGCAUAAUCAUUUGUCUUUUAAUUGAUGACUGGAAUGAAUGGCUGGACGGAGAAAAGCUGUCUCUUUUAUAUCUUUUAAAAAUUUACUUUCAAGUUAAAAGGCUUGAAUAAUAUAGAGGGACGAGAAGACCCUAUUGAGUUUUAUAGCUAAACUUCAAAUUUUUCUUUAAUUUUAAAUAAUAGCUAUUUAGUUGGGGUGACUUUAUAAUAAAAUCUAUAUUAGAAUUAAUAGACAUUAAGUUAUUAGGAUCCAUACUUUAUGAUAAAUAGAUUAAAUUACCUUAGGGAUAACAGCGUAAUAUUUUCUUAGAGUUCAAAUCGAUUAAAAUGCUUACGACCUCGAUGUUGGAUUAAAGAACCUAAUUGGAGAAGAAGCUAAUUUAGGUAGUCUGUUCGACUAUUAAAUCUUUACGUGA